rnacentral:lncRNA from 1 species
GGGAUAACAACAAUCUAUGGUCAAGCACACCUCUAACAUCCAUAAACAUCAUCUCAUUACAUAUCUAAACUAUACUUUUACAUUACAUCAUAAUCAUUUAUCAUGUCCACACUAACUAUUACAUAAACAAAACUUCGUUACUCUAUCCGGACUCCUGCUCUAUCCUGUACCUGCAAGCCUGGGGGUAAAGGGAGAGGGGUGAGCUAAAAGCCCAGUGAGUAGGACUAUAAAAACAUAUUAACACUAUGCUCCAUGAAAUGCAUCAUAACACAGACAAUUCACAUAAGGGUUGGGUGAACUUGUCACCAAUUAGUCCCAGCUAACUCUGUGCCAGGCCGUAGCAUGGGGUCCUGGUCUUCCUGUCAUAACAUACAUUACUUACCAUUACCCCAGGGCCUCCUCUGGGCUCCUGGUCUUCGAGUCCCAUAACCGUGCCAGGCCGUAGAAUGGGGUCCUGGUCUUUCCUUACUCUGUGCCAGGUCGUAGAAUGGGGUCCUGGUCUUCCUGUUAGGGACUAAUUGGGUCAUCCAAUAUUCACCCACAUCAACAACAAAUGAUGCAAUGCGGCAUAUUCGUGAAAACUAAUGCAAUCAUCCUAUUGCAUAUUCAUGAUGCAUGAAACAUGAUAAAAACAUUUGAUUUCUCAAUUUAAAAGAUUAAGUUUAGUUCCACUCACCUUUGGCUGACUCUGACAACACCGAAGCAGCUGAACUCACUGCUGGGGUCUUCGGUUCCUCGGGUCCAAACCUACACAGGUGGACUCAAAUGAGGGACCAAACAUACUAGAACAUAUCUCUAAACUACUCCCCAAAAACCCCCUAAAACAUCAUGAAACAACCAUAGAAAAACAUGCAAAGGAGGCCUGGACAGGGCACUUUCGGCGGUAGGUUCGGCGGCCGAAAGUUCCUCCAGAGCCGAAAGUCAGGCAGGUUCGGCGGCACCUUCGGCGGCCGAAACUCCCAGACAGAGACGAAACUCAUGCAUGUUCGGUGGCACUUUCGGCGGCCGAAACUGCCAGACAGAGACGAAAGUCUCCUUUCGGGGGCAGGCUUCAGCAGCCGAAAGGCUUGCCUCCCCAGCCAUGUUCGGCGGCCGAAAGUCCUUCGGCUGCCGAACCUGGUUUCUGCCAAAGGGCAGAAACUUGGCUCCUUUUGCACAUUUCGCCUCCAAACCUUCCAAACAUGCAUCAAACCUAUUCUACAACACACAUACACAAGCAUACAUGUUCCUAGGGGCCUCAAACCAUCAUAAACCCCAUCUAUAACACAUCAAGCAUCCACAUUGUUCAAGAACACACAUUAAACCCAUAAAUAUAACCAUAACCUAAACAUGCAUUCUACCCCCAUAGAUCUACUUAAAACUUACUUAAAACAUGCAAUGAGCUUAAGAUCGGCUCUUACCUUUUGAAGAUCGAGAGAGAGACGACCUAAAACUCGGAGGUGGAAGAGAUUGGGUUCUUGAACCUCCAAGCUCCAAAACCUUGCUCAAAAGCUCAAAUCUUCAAAACAAAGUUAAAACAAAUGAAAAUCUUGAAAGAUCUAGAGGAAGAGCAUCAAAGAUUGGUGAGGGACGGCGGAGAACUCACCUUGGCCGACAACGGGGAGAAAAGCUCGCCCGUUUUCGGCUAAGGGACCCUUUUAUAGUGGCUGGCGAGGCCACGUUCGGGGGCCGAACGUGCCUCCGCAUGCAUGCCAUGUUCGGCGGCCGAACUUGGGGUUCGGCGGCCGAACCUGGACUUCCCUCACUUAUGCCUUCGGGGGCCUAAGGCACACCCGAAAUGCAAGCAUGUUCGGCGGCCGAACUUGAGGUUCGGCGGCCGAACCUGAGUUUUCCUCCAAAACUAUUUUCAUGCAAAAAAUCAUUUUCUUUCAUGCUUAAAACAUAAAACACAUUAAAACAUUUUAUAAAAACAUGGUUCUACCCUUCUAGAGGUCUCCGACACCUGAAAUUCCACCGGACGGUAGGAAUUCCGAUACCGGAGUCUAGCCGGGUAUUACAUUCUCCCCCCUUAAGAACAUUCGUCCCCGAAUGUUCCUCAACUAGCACAUGCAUAGAGUCAUCACAUCAUACACAUAAAACACACAGAGACUAACCUUAAAAGAGAUGAGGAUAUUGCCGGAGCAUAGACUCCCGUGUCUCCCAAGUGCACUCUUCCAGAUUGUGGUGGUUCCAAAGGACUUUCACAUCGGGAUUUUCUUGUUCCUUAGCUUUCUGAUCUGGGUGUCUAGGACCCGUACUGGCUGUUCAACAUAGGUGAGAUCUUCUUGGAUCUCCACAUCAGGCUCACUAAGAACCUUGCCCGGAUCUGACACGAAUUUUCUCAACAUAGAAACAUGGAAAACCGGAUGGAUUCUUUCCAUUGAAGCAGGUAAAUCCAGCUUGUACGAUACAUUCCCAUUCUUUUGCAAGACUUCAAAGGGUCCGAUGUACCGUGGAGCUAGCUUACCUUUCUUUCCAAAGCGAACCACUCCUUUCAUAGGAGACACCUUGAGCAAUACCAGAUCCCCCUCCUGAAACUCUACCUGUCUUCUGCGGAUGUCUGCAUAACUCUUCUGUCUGCUUGCAGAAGUCUUGAUUCUUUCUUUGAUUAUGGGUACCACCCUGCUGGUAAUCUCUACUAGCUCAGGCCCUGCUAAGGCCCUCUCUCCAACUUCCUCCCAGCAAACAGGUGAUCUGCACUUCCUUCCAUAUAAAGCUUCAUAUGGAGCCAUCCCGAUGCUAGCAUGAUGGCUGUUAUUGUAGGCAAACUCUACCAAAGGUAGAUGCUGCCUCCAAGAACCGCCAAAGUCCAGCACACACAUUCUUAGCAUAUCUUCUAUGGUCUGGAUGGUCCUCUCUGAUUGUCCGUCUGUCUGAGGAUGGAAAGCAGUGCUAAAAUCCAACCUGGUACCCAUGGCAUCUUGCAGACUCCGCCAAAACCUGGAGGUGAACUGGGGUCCUCUAUCUGACACUAUAGAAACAGGAACCCCAUGCAGCCUGACGAUCUCAUCAACAUACACUUGCGCCAACUUGUCCACAGAAUAGCCAGUCCUGACAGGGAUGAAGUGAGCAGAUUUAGUGAGUCUGUCCACAAUCACCUAUAUGGAGUCCACUCUGUUGGACGUCGCCGGUAACCCCACUACGAAGUCCAUAGCUAUAUUCUCCCAUUUCCACUCUGGAAUAGGUAGCGGGUUAAGCAUUCGAGCCGGCUUCUGGUGUUCCAGCUUCACCCUCUGACAUACUUCGCAGGCUGACACAAACUGUGCCACUUCUCUCUUCAUAGCUGGCCACCAAUAAACUUUCUUUAGGUCUUGAUACAUCUUGGUGGCUCCGGGGUGAACGCUGUAUCUUGCAUUAUGAGCCUCUCUCAUAAUGUCUCCUUUUAGCCCUACGUCAUCUGGUACACACAAUCGACUCCCAUAGCGGAGGAUCCCCUUACUGUCAAAUCUGAACUCACUAUCUUUGCCUGACUGAACAGUCCUGGCAAUCUUCACUAACUCUGGGUCCUCAUGCUGUUUCUGAGCCACCUGCUCCAGAAACACGGGCGCCACUCUCAUCUGGGCUACCAAAGCAUCUGUACCAGACAAAUCCAACUGUAGACCUUCAUCAAUGAGCUUGUAAAACUCCUUCACCACUGGUCUCCUCUCUGCCGUGAUGUGGGAUAGACUGCCUAAUGACUUCCGGCUUAGGGCGUCUGCCACGACAUUUGCCUUACCCAGAUGAUACUGAAUCUUGCAAUCAUAGUCACUCAGCAGCUCUACCCAUCUUCUCUGUCUCAAAUUCAGAUCUCUUUGACUCAGGAUGUACUGCAGGCUCUUAUGAUCUGUGAAGAUCUCACAUUUUUCCCCAUAGAGGUAGUGCCUCCACAUCUUGAGUGCAAAGAUUACUGCUGCCAUCUCUAGGUCAUGCGUGGGGUAAUUUAACUCGUGCUUCUUCAGUUGUCUAGAAGCAUAAGCAAUCACCCUUUCAUUCUGCAUUAGCACACAACCCAAUCCCACUCGGGAUGCAUCACAGAACACUGUGAAGUCUUCAUUGCUAGCUGGCAGAGCUAGCACUGGUGCUGAAGUCAACCUCUUCUUAAGCUCUUCAAAACUCCCUUCGCACUGGUCGGUCCACACAAACUUCUGAUUCUUUCUGGUUAACCUAGUCAGAGGAGCUGCAAUUUUCGAGAAGUCCUGAACGAACCUCCUGUAGUAACCUGCCAAACCCAAGAAACUUCUAAUCUCUGUCACUGAAGUGGAUCUAGGCCAGUUAGCCACAGCUUCUACCUUCUUGGGGUAUACCUCUAUUCUAUUUUCUGACACCACAUGCCCCAAGAAUGAAAUGCUCCUCAGCCAGAACUCACACUUGGAGAACUUGGCAUACAAGCCAUGUUCCCUCAAGGUCUGUAGAACCAACCUUAGAUGAUGGGCAUGCUCCUCUGCAUUCCUGAAAUACACUAAGAUAUCAUCUAUGAAGACAAUAACGAAGUGAUCCAGGUACUGGCUAAACACUCUGUUCAUGAGGUCCAUGAAUGCUACAGGGGCGUUGGUUAACCCGAACGGCAUCACAAGGAACUCAAAAUGCCCAUAUCUGGUCCUGAAAGCUGUCUUUGGCACAUCUUCUUCUCUGAUCCUCAAUUGAUGAUACCCAGAUCUCAGAUCUAUUUUGGAGAAACAACCCGCUCCUGCUAGCUGGUCGAAUAGAUCAUCGAUCCUUGGCAAUGGGUACUUGUUCUUGGUAGUGACUUUGUUCAACUGCCUGUAGUCGAUACAAAGUCUAAGGGAUCCAUCCUUCUUUCUCACAAACAAAACUGGAGCACCCCAGGGUGAGGUACUCGGUCGGAUGAAGCCCUUGUCUACCAGUUCCUGUAUCUGCUCCUUCAACUCUUUCAAUUCUGCUGGUGCCAUCCUGUAAGGAGGGAUAGAGAUCGGUCGGGUUCUAGGCAUCAGUUCUAUCUCGAACUCUAUCUCCCUAGCAGGUGGUAAACCUGGCAGCUCGUCUGGGAACACAUCUAAGAACUCUCUAACCACUGGCACCGAGGUGGGCUCUCUAACCUGACUGCUAAGCUCUCUCACAUGAGCCAAAUACCCCUGACAUCCCCUCCUGAGCAACCUACGAGCUUGAAGAGCUGAUAUCAGACCUCUAGUUGUACCCCUCCUGUCUCCUCUGAAGACAACCUCAGACCCAUCCUGACCUCUGAACCUGACUACCUUGUCCCUGCAGUCCAAGGUAGCACCAUGGGUAGAUAACCAGUCCAUCCCUAGAAUGACGUCAAAAUCUGUCAAAUCUAGAACCACUAGGUCGGCGGACAAGCAUCUUCCCUCAGCAAACACAGGACUACACUGGCAGACUGACUCUGCCACUGAUGGAUCACACUUGGGUCCACUGACCCAGAGAGGACACUCUAACCCAGAAGUCAUCAGACCCAACCUCUGGACGGCUCUCAGAGCGAUAAAAGAAUGAGAUGCACCAGGGUCCAUCAAGGCAUACACAUAUGAACAACCAAUGAUUAAGUUACCUGCCACCACGGUGUUAGAUGCAUCUGCCUCCUGCUGUGUCAUUGUGAAGAUCUGUGCUGGAGCUGAUGGACCUUCACCUCUGAAACCCGCUGAAGAAGAGGCUGCCCCUCUCCCUCUGCCUCUGCCACUGACCUGAGUCGUGGCUGGAGCUGCUGGCUGCGCUACACUGCCUGAAGCUGUCUGCUGGGACUGAGCCAUCGGGACUGCUCUUGGAUAUUCUCGAGCCAUGUGCCCUUCCUGACCACAUCUGAAGCAGGCAUUCGUCCCAAACCGACAUACUCCCUUGUGUGGCCUACCACACCUCGCACAAACUGCAUUAUCUGCACCAGAGCUUAAGCCGCUUCCAAAUCCCAGACUAAACUUAACCUUGUUCCAAAACUUAUUCUUCUUACCCUUGCGCUUACCCCAUCUCUUACUGCCUGAAGCUGCUGCACUCAGGGUAGAGGGAUCUAAUCUUCCUCCACCCGGAGUUUUAGAACCAGAAGACUGUGCCACUGUCUGCUUAACUGUCCCCUGAAUGAUGGCACUGGCCUCCAUUUUCCUGGCCAUAUCUACUAUGGCAUGGAAGCUCUCCCUGUCCACGGACUGAAUCAAGGAGGAAUACCUGGAAUGAAGUUUCAUGACAUACCUCCUUGACUUCUUCGAAUCUGUAUCCAGACUCUGCCCAACAAAAGGCAACAGCUCCAAGAAUCUGUCGGUGUACUCCUCUAUACUCAUUUCAUCCGUCUGCCUCAACUGCUCAAACUCUAUCAUCUUCAGCUCCCUUGAACUAUCGGGAAAAGCCCAUCCUGCAAACUCGUUUGCAAACUCCUCCCAAGACAUGCUGUCCACUCUCGGGUUCACAUAAUUCUUGAACCACUCUCGUGCCUUCUUGCACUUAAGCGUGAACCCAGCCAUCUGUAUGGCUCUACUGUCAUCAGCCCCAAUCUCAUCUGUGAUCACCUUAACCCUUUCAAGAUACACAAAUGGGUCAUCCCCUUUUUCAUACUGAGGAGCACCCAGUUUCAUGUAGUCAGUCAUCUUAACCUUGCUCCCACUGGCUGAGCUAGGUCUAGAUGGUUGAGUAACUGGGGCUGCUGGUUCUGUAGGUGGUGGAGGUGGUGCAACAUUUUCUGAGGUAGGGUUUGCUGGAUUUGGAUAGUAGGGUGGAGGUGGAUACAUUGGGUACUGUGAGUAUGGUGGGUAGUAAGGUGGGUAGGGCAUGUGUGUGGGGUAAGGGGUAAAGCUAGGGUAAUCCGAUGUACCUCCCAUCGAAUACCUGGGAUGUUGUGAGAAGUGUGGGUAGUGGGGUGGCUGAACAAAUCCCGAGGCCUGAGUGCCUCCUUGGGACUCUCCCAUAUCUUCUUCUGACCUACUAACUCCCAAACUGCUAUCCCUUCUCUGCUCUACAUCCAUAUCAUCCCCCAUGCCCUCUGACAUUCCUCCUUGAACUGUUCCCCUCACUGAUCUGCUUCUACCCAGAUCCAGAGACCUUCUAGGGUCUCUUGCUGCCCUUUCUCUGUUAGACCUACUCGACAUUGCCCUAGGCAAUGUAGGAGGACGGGCGCUCAUGCCCUCAUCCUUAGGUGGUACUCCAGGCAAUCGUGCAGAUCGACGAGUUCCUCUCAUCCUGUUUUCUGAAAAACAGCACAUAACAAACAAACAUUAGCACCAUAUGGUUCAUGUGGGCACACAUGAACUCGCAUCAUAUACAUCACAUAGCAUUAAUGCACAUGUAUAUAAUCAUGGCAUUUCACAUCAUCAUAAAAGACAGGACUCCACAUCCUAUCCUAGUGGACAUGAUCUUUCCUAUUGUGCUUGACCUUCUAUAACCUCUAUGAGCCCGACACUCUAGGUCCGACCAUAUGAACCUAGGGCUCUGAUACCACUCUGUAACGACCCAAAAAUCGGACCGCUACCGGCGCUAGGAUCCAGAUCGGCUUAAGGCCGCCGGGACCCGUAGCAAGCCUGACAUAUAACCUGUAAACCUGUAUAAUCCCAUACAUGAUCAACAACAUACAUAAAAAUUAAAACUUUUCUUUCCAUUCAUACACCAAACUCAACCUGCGCAUGCACUGUACAUAACAUAAAUCAUAAACAUUGAUCCCUCUGUGGGAUUCAACAGUGCCCCCAAAUGGGUGACAUAACAUAUGUUGAGUUGGUUUACAUAGACAUCAUAAAAAUCUGUAAGAUCAUGUAUUAAAAGGGAUAACAACAAUCUAUGGUCAAGCACACCUCUAACAUCCAUAAACAUCAUCUCAUUACAUAUCUAAACUAUACUUUUACAUUACAUCAUAAUCAUUUAUCAUGUCCACACUAACUAUUACAUAAACAAAACUUCGUUACUCUAUCCGGACUCCUGCUCUAUCCUGUACCUGCAAGCCUGGGGGUAAAGGGAGAGGGGUGAGCU